GGAUCUCAGCAAAAAUGCGGAGGCCUGGAUAUCGGCAACCGCUGAAGCAGCAAUUAGGAGGUGUUAAGGCAAUGUUCUUAAGGCUCUCGGUUGCUGUAAUCGUUGUCGUGAUUUGUAUGUUCCUGCUUAUGUCUGCGAUGUCGAGUAGUAAUAGUAACAGUUCGUCAGCUGAGAUUAAUGCAGAGGCACUCUGGGGAACUGCUGCUUCUGAUGGUUGGAGGGCGUCAUCUGCUCCUCGAUCAGAUUGGCCUCCUCCUGCCAGUGAAAGCAAUGGCUAUUUACGGGUUCGGUGUAAUGGUGGUCUGAACCAACAACGUAGUGCAAUCUGUAAUGCAGUUCUUGCUGCACGAAUUAUGAAUGCUACACUGGUGUUACCUGAGUUGGAUGCAAAUUCCUUCUGGCACGAUGAUAGUGGGUUUCAAGGUAUCUACGAUGUUGAACAUUUUAUUAAGACAUUGAAGUAUGACGUAAGAAUAGUGGAAAGCAUUCCUGAAAUCCGAAAAAAUGGAAAGGUAAAGAAGAUAAAAGCAAAACAGAUUCGACCUCCUAGAGAUGCUCCUAUCAGUUGGUAUACAACAGAGGCUCUAAAGACAAUGAAGGAACACGGUGCUAUUUAUCUUACUCCUUUUUCACAUAGACUGGCUGAAGAAAUCGAUUAUCCUGAGUACCAGCGGCUGAGAUGUAGAGUUAACUAUCAUGCCCUUCGAUUUAAGCCUCAUAUUAUGGAUUUAAGCCAAUCAAUUGUCACUAAACUUCGUUCGCAAGGCCACUUUAUGACAAUACAUCUUCGUUUUGAGAUGGAUAUGCUAGCAUUUGCUGGGUGCUUUGACAUAUUUUCUCCUGAGGAGCAAAAGAUUUUGAAGAAGUAUAGACAGGAAAAUUUUGCAGAAAAGAGACUUAUAUAUGAUGAAAGAAGGGCAAUUGGGAAAUGUCCACUAACUCCAGAAGAGGUGGGUCUUAUUUUACGCGCAAUGGGUUUUGACAACUCUACUAGGAUAUACCUUGCUGCAGGUGAGCUCUUUGGUGGUGAGCGAUUCAUGAAACCUUUCCGUUCCUUGUUCCCCCGCUUGGAGAACCAUAGUACAGUGGACACCACAGGUGAGCUGGGGAAAAACACUAUGGGCUUGUUAGGUUCAGCUGUGGAUUAUAUGGUUUGUCUUCUCUCUGAUAUUUUCAUGCCAACAUAUGAUGGACCAAGCAAUUUCGCGAACAAUCUCCUUGGUCAUCGGUUAUACUAUGGUUUUCGCACGACAAUCCGACCUGAUAGGAAAGCACUGGCUCCUAUCUUUAUUGAUCGUGAGAAGGGUCAUACAGCUGGUUUUGAUGAAGCAGUUAGGCGUGCCAUGUUAAAAACAAACUUCGGUGGACCUCAUAAGCGGAUCUCACCUGAAUCAUUUUAUACUAAUUCUUGGCCAGAGUGCUUUUGUAAAAAAUCAGCUGUAAAUCCUGCUGAUAAAUGUCCACCACAUGACGUUGUUGAAGUCUUAAAUAGUCAAAUGGAGAGGGAAGGAAUCAGUGACUUUGAGGCAAGUGGAUCAAAUUUGACGUUAGCCAUGGAUAAAUAGGUGUUCU
rnacentral:misc_RNA from 1 species